UACAGGGGGUGCAAACGUUGCUAGGAAUCAUUGGGCGUAAAGCGCACGUAGGCGGUCUGUUAUGUCGGAUGUGAAAGCCCUUGGCUCAACUGAGGAAGUGCAUCCGAAACUGGCAGGCUAGAGUACUAAAGAGGGUCGCGGAAUUCCCGGUGUAGAGGUGAAAUUCGUAGAUAUCAGGAGGAACACCGGUGGCGAAGGCGGGUCUCUGGGCCGAUAUUGACGCUGAGGAGCGAAAGCGUGGGGAGCAAACAGG
rnacentral:rRNA from 1 species